UACGUAGGGUGCAAGCGUUGUCCGGAAUUAUUGGGGCGUAAAAGGAGCUCGUGAGGCGGCUUUAAACAAGUCACUUGUGAAAUCUCCGGGCUUAACUCGGAACGGCCAAGUGAAACUGUCAAGCUAGAGUGCAGAAGGGGCAAUCGGAAUUCUUGGUGUAGCGGUGAAAUGCGCAGAUAUCAGGAGGAACACCGGUGGCGAAGGCGGGUCUCUGGGCCGAUACUGACGCUGAGGAGCGAAAGCGUGGGGAGCGAACAGG
rnacentral:rRNA from 1 species